rnacentral:rRNA from 1 species
UUCGCAAUGCCCGAAAGGGUGACGAAGCGACGCCGCGUGUGGGAAGAAGGCCUUCGGGUUGUAAACCACUGUCGGGAGUUAGGAAAUGCAGGUGCGUUAAUAGCGCACUUGCUUGACUAAGGCUCCAGAGGAAGCCACGGCUAACUCUGUGCCAGCAGCCGCGGUAAUACAGAGGCGGCAAGCGUUGUUCGGAAUUAUUGGGCGUAAAGAGCACGUAGGCGGCCUUGCAAGUCAGUUGUGAAAGCCUUCCGCUUAACGGAAGAACGGCAUCUGAUACUACAGGGCUUGAGUACGGGAGGGGAGAGUGGAACUUCUGGUGGAGCGGUGAAAUGCGUAGAUAUCAGGAGGAACACCGGCGGCGAAGGCGACUCUCUGGUCCAUAACUGACGCUGAGUGUGCGAAAGCUAGGGGAGCAAACGGGAUUAGAUACCCCGGUAGUCCUAGCCGUAAACGAUGGGCACUAAGUAGAGGGGUUUU